rnacentral:rRNA from 1 species
AAUCUCGUGCUGACGAGCGGCGGACGGGUGAGUAACGCGUAGGAAUCUACCUAGUAGAAGGGGAUAGCCCGAGGAAACUCGGAUUAAUACCGUAUACGUCCUUAGGGAGAAAGAGGGCUGAGCUUGAUGCUCUCGCUAUUAGAUGAGCCUGCGUAAGAUUAGCUUGUUGGUGAGGUAAAGGCUCACCAAGGCUACGAUCUUUAGCUGGUCUGAGAGGACGAUCAGCCACAUUGGGACUGAGACACGGCCCAGACUCCUACGGGAGGCAGCAGUGGGGAAUAUUGGACAAUGGGCGCAAGCCUGAUCCAGCCAUACCGCGUGUGUGAAGAAGGCUUUCGGGUUGUAAAGCACUUUAAGUGAGGAAGAAAAGAUAAUAGUUAAUACCUGUUAUCCGUGACAUUACUCACAGAAUAAGGACCGGCUAAUUCCGUGCCAGCAGCCGCGGUAAUACGGAAGGUCCAAGCGUUAAUCGGAAUUACUGGGCGUAAAGCGCGCGUAGGUGGUUUAUCAAGUUGGUUGUGAAAGCCCCGGGCUUAACCUGGGAACUGCAGCCAAAACUGAUUCACUAGAGUACGAAAGAGGAAAGUAGAAUUCACAGUGUAGCGGUGGAAUGCGUAGAUAUUGUGAAGAAUACCAAUUGCGAAGGCAGCUUUCUGGUUCUGUACUGACACUAAGGUGCGAAAGCGUGGGGAGCGAACAGGAUUAGAUACCCUGGUAGUCCACGCCGUAAACGAUGACAACCAGCUGUUGGGAAGCAAUGCUUUUCAGUGGCGCAGCUAACGCCUUAAGUUGUCCGCCUGGGGAGUACGGCCGCAAGGCUAAAACUCAAAUGAAUUGA